CACGGGGCGGGCCUGCCUAUAAUGCAAGUCGAGCGCGGGAAGCGAGUGGAUCCCUUCGGGGUGAAGCUCGUGGAACGAGCGGCGGACGGGUGAGUAACACGUGGGCAACCUGCCUGUAAGAUCGGAAUAACUCCGGGAAACCGGGGCUAAUGCCGGGUAAUACUUUCUUUCGCAUGAAGGAAAGUUGAAAGAUGGCUUCUUGCUAUCACUUACAGAUGGGCCCGCGGCGCAUUAGCUAGUUGGUGAGGUAACGGCUCACCAAGGCGACGAUGCGUAGCCGACCUGAGAGGGUGAUCGGCCACACUGGGACUGAGACACGGCCCAGACUCCUACGGGAGGCAGCAGUAGGGAAUCUUCCGCAAUGGACGAAAGUCUGACGGAGCAACGCCGCGUGAACGAUGAAGGUCUUCGGAUCGUAAAGUUCUGUUGUUAGGGAAGAACAAGUACCGUGCGAAUAGAGCGGUACCUUGACGGUACCUAACGAGGAAGCCCCGGCUAACUACGUGCCAGCAGCCGCGGUAAUACGUAGGGGGCAAGCGUUGUCCGGAAUUAUUGGGCGUAAAGCGCGCGCAGGCGGUUCCUUAAGUCUGAUGUGAAAGCCCACGGCUCAACCGUGGAGGGUCAUUGGAAACUGGGGAACUUGAGGACAGAAGAGGAGAGUGGAAUUCCACGUGUAGCGGUGAAAUGCGUAGAUAUGUGGAGGAACACCAGUGGCGAAGGCGACUCUCUGGUCUGUUUCUGACGCUGAGGUGCGAAAGCGUGGGUAGCAAACAGGAUUAGAUACCCUGGUAGUCCACGCC
rnacentral:rRNA from 1 species